ACCAACAUAUCACUCUGAACACACCUGACUGCAUUUGAAUUCAGAAAUUAAGCAGGGUUGGGCAUGACUAGUACUUGUUUAUGGGAGCACUACUCAAUGCCAAGUAAGCCUAGGUA
rnacentral:rRNA from 1 species